rnacentral:rRNA from 1 species
GCUCAGAAACUCAAAGGAAUUGACGGGGCCCGCGACAAGCGGUGGAGUAUGUGGUUUAAUUCGAUGCAACGCGAAGAACCUUACCUGGUCUUGACAUCCCGGAGACCCUUAGGAAACUAGGGGGUGCUUCCAUCUGGAAGAAUCUGGAGACAGGUGCUGCAUGGCUGUCGUCAGCUCGUGUCGUGAGAUGUUGGGUUAAGUCCCGCAACGAGCGCAACCCUUGCCUUUAGUUGCCAGCAGUUCGGCUGGGCACUCUAAAGGGACUGCCGGUGUUAAACCGGAGGAAGGUGGGGAUGACGUCAAGUCCUCAUGGCCUUUAUGACCAGGGCUACACACGUACUACAAUGGCCGAUACAAAGGGCAGCGACACUGCGAGGUGAAGCCAAUCCCGUAAAAUCGGUCUCAGUCCGGAUUGGAGUCUGCAACUCGACUCCAUGAAGUUGGAAUCGCUAGUAAUCGUGGAUCAGCAUGCCACGGUGAAUACGUUCCCGGGCCUU